GCGGGAAUAGCUCAGCGGUAGAGUGUCGCCUUGCCAAGGCGAAUGUCGCGAGUUCGAAUCUCGUUUCCCGCUCCA
rnacentral:tRNA from 1 species